UACGAGGGAUGCAAGCGUUAUCCGGAAUUAUUGGGCGUAAAGCGUCCGUAGGUGGUUUAUCAAGUCUGUUGUUAAAGAGUGGGGCUUAACCUCAUAAAGGCAAUGGAAACUGAGAGACUUGAGUGCGGUAGGGGUAGAGGGAAUUCCCAGUGUAGCGGUGAAAUGCGUAGAGAUUGGGAAGAACACCAGUGGCGAAGGCGCUCUGCUAUACCGUAACUGACACUGAGGUGCGAAAGCGUGGGGAGCAAACAGG
rnacentral:rRNA from 1 species